rnacentral:rRNA from 1 species
GUCUCAGUUCGGAUUGGGGUCUGCAACUCGACCCCAUGAAGUCGGAGUCGCUAGUAAUCGCAGAUCAGCAACGCUGCGGUGAAUACGUUCCCGGGCCUUGUACACACCGCCCGUCACGUCAUGAAAGUCGGUAACACCCGAAGCCGGUGGCCUAACCCCUGUGUGGGAGGGAGCUGUCGAAGGUGGGAUCGGCGAUUGGGACGAAGUCGUAACAAGGUAGCCGUACCGGAAGGUGCGGCUGGAUCACCUCCUUUCUAAGGAG